rnacentral:tRNA from 1 species
GCCACGGUGGUCUAGCGGUUAGAACGCUGGCCUUGUAUUCCUGGGGUCUCGGGUUCGAUUCCCGGCGGUGCCC